ACUCGAAAAUCACCGUAAGUUUCUAUUGUCAUUGAUAAAUUUCUGAUAUCCUCCCUCGGUCACAGUCAGAGAAAAUGGCUAUGGUAGUAAAACUGGCAUUAUCGGGCAUGCUGACUUCUAUUUAAAUUUGUUGUUGUUGUUGUUGUUUAAGAUGAUUUAUUUUAUUUAUGUUUUGUGUUUGCUUGCAAACAUAUGAGCACCACAUAAGUGCAGGAUUCUACCCACAGAGGCCAUAUCGCCUGGAAAUGGAGUUGCAGGUGACUGUUAGGUACCAUGUGGGUUCUAGGAACCAAACUCUGUCCCCUGCAAAAGGCCCUCGCUGCCUGUGCACACGGAUCCAAGAGUUCACCCAACCCUUGCACCAUGGUGCCUCAGAGAGAAAGGUGACAGAUGCUCUAAUGCUCGCUGGUGAGCUACCAUGGGAAUCUAGCCUCCAAAGGACUACAGAAAGAAGCUGGGGGUGGCAGUGUAUGACUGUAACCUGAGCAUCCAGAGGCUGAUGCCACCCUGCACUACACAGUGAAAUGCUGUCUCAUAUACAUUAUUUAAAAAUAUUUAAUUAUUUAAAAAUAAAAGACCCUUUGAGAGGACACUUCGUGGUCACUCACAAAGUAAAGACCCUACGUCCAGACUGCAGGCCUAUUUGUUUCACUCCGAAACAAAAUUGAAAGAAAACCCUUCAAACUGCAUGUGUGAACUCACACCUAUGACCCCAGCACUGGGAAGAUAAAAACUGGAGGCUCGUCCCAUCAUGGUCAUCCUCGGCUACACAGUAAGUUGGAGUUUCUCCCACCCAGCUUCUUGCCUGAGCAGUGUGUGGAGGUGAAGGAAGAAAAAGCUACACAGGCCUUGAAAUAUCUCUCUCUGCAAGGAAGAGCCAGGAGAGUAUCGGGGCCCAGGCAAACUUCCUCCAGGCGCCACCCAAGCCAGCAGCGCAGAAGAGGUGCACUUGCAGGCCAAACCUUUGAGAACUCCUCCUGCUGACGCCAAGCUGCACAGGAUGCCAAGAGAGCAGCAGUGCAAACAGAAACCGCGGUGCAGAUCCCUUCGUGAAAACCCAUUCGGCAGUCUGGCAAGCAGCCCUGCCCUCUGCUACUUUAUUCCCUCGAUUCAUUGACGUAGAUUCUUUCAUAUCAUAACAGCAGCUGGCCAAACCCAGCUGGAAUGUUUGGUAGCCUUCACCUCCUUCUUUUCAGGGUGAAGGUUGGAAAGAAUCCUCUCAAAGAAGACCCACAAUGCACUGCAGUAGGAAGGCUAAUAGGCCCGCUCUACCCCCACGCUGGAUGCACUUCCUCUUCCUAGCUCUAGGGGCGCCACAGCCAUGAAGCUGCGCUGCUUUGUCCCGCUGGGGAGCAUGCUGGUUGCAGGGCAAGGGCUGCUGCUUGGUAACCACCCCCACCUCACAUAUGCGAGGUUGAUGCGCCUAAGGAGUGCUGGGAUUUCACUAUGGUUUAUCCCUGAACUCAUCCUGAAGUGAAGCACUGUGACAUAUUAGGAGGGUAGACAUUUAAUCCAACUGUGGAAUUUACAGGAAGGGCUUUGGAAGGGUGAAUAAGUGAAUCCUGGCGGCUUUGUAGAUAGAAGAUGGGCCCGUGAGAUGGUUCAGCAGGUAAAGGCUUGCGGCCAAGCCUGACAACUUGAGUUUCAUCCAGGGACCAAUAUGGUAGAAGCAGAAAAACAACUCCAGCAAAUUGUCUUCUGGCCGCCAUACAAACACCUCAGCAUAUGCAUGCCCACACAGAAAUAAAUCAAAUAAAAAAAUUUUUAAUUAAAAAUAAGAAUAAAAGGAGGAGAAGCAAGGUGUGGUGGCACAUGCCUGUAAGCCCAGCAGAGGCAGGAACGUUGCUGAAGGCUUUUGCCUGGUCUGCACAAGGAGUUCCAGGCCAGCCUCAGCUACACACACACACACACACACACACACACGUGCACUUUCUGUCUCUUCCCAUGCAAUGUUAUGUGACGCCUCACAACUGUCAGCAAGGUCAUCACCAUGGCCAGAUAUAGUGACGAAUGCCUGUAAUUUCAGACAUCUCUCCACCUGAGGGUAGAA
rnacentral:lncRNA from 1 species